rnacentral:lncRNA from 1 species
GUAAGAAAUGUACUGCAUAUCCCCCAGUGAAACUCAAUGUUGUUCUAUCAGGGGCAACAUGGUUAGAACCUGAACCAAUUGACCGGUGCUUCACUGAUGGAAAUUUGGUGACUGGAGCAGCUUGGCCUGGUCAUCCUGAGUUCAUAUCACAGUUCAUGGCACUGCUUGGUAUUCGCGUAUCUUUCUAGUUAUGUUUGUUUCUUACUCGAUAUCUUAUAUAUAUGUUGCAAAAUGAGAUUUUCGAAUAAUGCCUGUACCUGUGAGAUAAUCUAAGUUGUGUUUGCUUUUUAUACUUGGAUAAUGGAUUUGCUAAUACUUUUUAAUUUGAGUUCCAUUCUUCGUGUAAAUUAAC